UACGAGGGGUGCAAGCGUUGCUCGGAAUUAUUGGGCGUAAAGGGUAGGUAGGUGGUCUCAUUUGUCUGGGGUGAAAGCCUUGAGCUUAACUCAAGAAGUGCCCCAGAAACGGUGAGACUCGAGUCCUGGAGAGGGUCGUGGAAUUCCCGGUGUAGCGGUGAAAUGCGUAGAGAUCGGGAGGAACACCAGAGGCGAAGGUGGCGACCUGGACAGGUACUGACACUCAACUACGAAAGCGUGGGGAGCAAACAGG
rnacentral:rRNA from 1 species